UUGAUGCCUUGGGGAGAACAAAGUUUUUUAUUUGUCCCCAGGCAUGCUAUACCCAUGCUCCAUAACCAUGUGCCUUCCCCUGACCUGAAAGGACCACCUUUAAGGGUGAGAAAGUAGUUUAGUUUCUGUGCCUUUUUAAACUUGCUCUUUC
ensembl:misc_RNA